CUUUCAGAUGAAAACAUCUAUGAAUGAAAAAAAGUGAAAUCAAUGAUCAAUUGAUAAUAUACAAACAGUAAAAAUUUCAGCUGAGAUAAUAGGUAAUGAUAAACCCAAAUCUUGAGGUAAAAUAGCCGGUUAUGAUUAUAUCUUACAUGAUUUUUACUCAAAAGAAUUUAAUACCUCUCUGCAAUUCUUUGUAAAAGUCAACAGGGAGAUGGGAAAAGAUAUAUGCCACUCUCGCAAAUAAACUCCUCCAAACAACCUUUACUCCGAUGAACAAUAGCUAGUUCAAGCAUUUCAACAUUGGAUGUACCAAAAUGAAUAUUGUUCCUUACCAAACCCUUAAAAAGAAGCAAAUCCUUAUGGUUGAUACACUCACGUCUCCAUAUUCGAGGUUCAUUUGCUAGUCUCUGCCACUCUCGACAUACUGAUUGUGCCGAUGCAAAGAGACAGACAGUCCAAACCCUGAUGAAUAUCUCUAAAAGAAUGUUACAUGGAAGUCCUGCCCAAUCGCGAAAGUUUUUGGGUAACAAGAAAUUAUUUGUAUGACCAUCCAUUUGGGAGAUGGAAGAUGGUACCUUUUAUCGAUUUAAAACCCUAAUAUUAAAGUGUUGAGUUUGCAAUAUGAU
rnacentral:lncRNA from 1 species